rnacentral:snoRNA from 1 species
UGAUGGCGAUGACUAUCUUAGGACACCUUUGAAAUCAUUAUGAAAUAAAAUCUUCGUCCUGAGUCAU